rnacentral:tRNA from 1 species
UCCUUUGUGGUCCAGUGGUUGGGACUCUGCUCUUCCAAUGCAGAGGGCAUGGAUGGGUUCAAUCCCCAGUCAGGGAA